UCUUAAUAAAAAGCACCAGAAGUCAGUCUUUCCUUCCCCUGCCAGAUGGGAAUGUGGAAGCAGGUAGCCCCAAUGCUACUGGUAGCCACCCAACAACCACAAGGGAACCGGCUCCGGAAAUAGACCCCUGUGGACAAGACAAUGGAGAGCAAGAGAAAAGCUGGAUUCUUGAUGCCACUGCUGAGCUGCUCAAUCAACUAACCUACAGACUACCUACUCUGGGUAUUCAGAGCCUAAAGGAGAUUUUAAAAAACAAGGUGUCAUACCCAUUACAGGAAGCUUUGCAGCCUUCUUCAAAUUCCUCAUGCCGCAGAAUCUGGCUGGCCAGAAGCUUUAGUUGAGGACAGACACCAAGGUUAUUUUCAUCUUUGUCACCAAAGCUGUCACCAACACAGGACCGUGAAGCACAAACGAUAUAUUUUAAAUGACUGAUGAAUUCAGGUAACUCGCUUGCACGCCACAUCUUCUGCACUCUCUACAUUAAAUUGCACUCUUGCACCUCUAAAGCCCUUGCUUAUCGGGAGCUCCCCAAUAGCUUCCACCUGCAUUUGCCACCCAGGUGAUCCCUGCAGAAUCGCAACUGCUCAGGGCUGGAGAGGCGGCUUCCGGGUGUUGGAGACAAUGGGUUCCGACUUCACACUUAGAUCUGGACUGUUGAGAGGAAGUCCGGAGCAUUCACCCGGAGAUUGAAUAUACAUAAGAUACCAUUCAAAGCAGGCCUGAGAGAAGCAGAGGUCUAAAUAGGCUGAUUAUCUAAACCGAAAGGCCCCAAACCGGAAGAGAUUGGGUUAUUGUUCAUGGGGAGAGUAUUAUAUUACUUUUUGUUUACGGUCUUUC